UACAGAGGUCUCAAGCGUUGUUCGGAUUCAUUGGGCGUAAAGGGCGCGUAGGUGGCGGGGUUAGUCAGGUGUGAAAUCUCGGGGCUCAACCCCGAAACUGCACUUGAUACUGCCUUGCUAGAGUACUGGAGAGGAGAUUGGAAUUUACGGUGUAGCAGUGAAAUGCGUAGAUAUCGGGAGGAACAUCUGUGGCGAAGGCGACACCCUGGACCAGCACUGACACUGAGGCACGAAAGCGUGGGGAGCAAACAGG
rnacentral:rRNA from 1 species